UAGUGAGUUUGAUCCUGGCUCAGGACGAACGCUGGCGGCGUGCUUAACACAUGCAAGUCAAGGGGGCCCGCAAGGGGCAACCGGCGAACGGGUGCGUAACACGUGAGCAACCUGCCUUCGAGUGGGGGAUAGCCGGCCCAACGGCCGGGUAAUACCGCAUACGCUCAUGCCCUGGCAUCAGGGGGUAGAGGAAACGUUUACGGCUCGGAGAGGGGCUCGCGGCCUAGUCAGCUAGUUGGUGGGGUCACGG
rnacentral:rRNA from 1 species